ACUCUGGCACAUGGCUGCUAAUAAACUUCUUCAUUCUCAGGAAGACAGGGUCGAUGUAGAAGAAAAAGAAAUUUAAAAAUAUAUGGCUGCCACACAGAGCCUCUGAAAUGAUGGAUCUUUGAUGGAGGGAAACCCAUUGCUACCAAGGCUGAUAUCUAGUACGAAACAAAAUUAUAGACUAUCUGAGUAGAAGAGGUUCACUCUCAAGCCAUCCAUCCUUUGUUGUUGUUGUUUUUUAAUGACUGCUUUUGACUCCUUGGAAUUCUCCACCAUUCCUCAACUGCCUUCUCAUCCUGGAAGGAACUUCUACCUUUGGAGACCCCAUUGGUGAAGUUCUUCCUUGGAACCUCCAUGUUGAGGAAAGGCCCAGACCAGCCAUGUCCACUCCUGUCCUAUCUCAGCUCUGCUCCUGACUCCUUGGACUUCUACCCACAAUGUCUCAUCUGCCUUCUCACCCUGGAAGAACCCUCUGCCCUUACAGCUUUCCCCUCCCACUGUGGCCAAGAACUGAAUACUACUGGGGUGCCCAUCAUUUAGGAAUGGCUGAAGAGAUUAUGGUACAUGAAUGGAACGGAAUAUGAUCUAGUUGAAAAAAGUGAAGAAACUGUUUCAAAGAGACAUAAAAAGUGAUCGUUUAGUCCAGGAUGUAAAGACUGAACUGAAUCCAGAAGUAACGUGUUGGAAAUGGCAGUUACAUGCAUGAGCUUCCAUGCUAUGAGCCUGAGAGAAUUCAUGAGAUUCCACCCAUCCUAAAGGAUGAAUAGAGGUGAGAACCACUCAUUCAAGCCCAAGAAUGAACUGCAACUUCUUACAGAGUGUCUGGAAUUAUUUCUCUCUUGAGCAACAGCUCCUCUGUCAAAAGAAGAGGCAAGAUAAGAUGGUCCAGGAAGAUCUUUCCAGCCCUGAUAUUCCAGGAGUCUAUGGUUCCAGAACCUGUAAAUAUAUUUGAAAUAUAAUACAGAAGCUCAUUAGUGACUCCAUUCUUUUUAAUUUUAUUUAGUCAAUUCCUUGGUUACAAGAAUGAUAUUCUUUCCCUCCCUUCCCCCAUUCCUUCCUGUAGCUGAUGUACAAUUCCACUGGGUAAUGCAUGUGUCCUUGAUCAGAGCCUAUUUCCAUAUUGUUGGUAUUUGCACUAGGAUGUUCAUUCAGAGUCUACAUCCCCAAUCAUAUCCCCUCGACCCAUGUGAUCAAGCAGUUGUUUUUCUUCUGUGUUUCUACUCCCACAUUUUUUCCUCUGGAUGUGGAUAGCGUUCUUUCUUGUAGAUCCCUCCAAGUUGUUCAGGAUCACUGCAUUGCCACUAAUGGAGAAGUCCAUUACAUUCAAUUGUACCACAGUGUAUCAGAGUGACUCCAUUUUUAAUAUCAAUCAAGCAACAAGCAUUUUUAAAGCAUCAAUAUGCCAGGCACUGAACUCUACAUUGAAGAUAACAAAGACAAAAGCGAGUCCCUGUCCUCAGGGAGUUUAUAUUCUGUCAGUGGAGACAACCUAAGUAUAUAUAACAUACAUACAGAAUAAAUACAAGGCAAUUUUUGUGGGGAGAUUUCUGUGGAAAUUGGGGGAUUUCAGGGAGUCAGGAAAGGACUCAUAAAGGAGAUGAUAUAUAUGUAUGUAUAUAUAUAUUUAAGUUAAGUCAAUAAAGAUUUAUUAAGCAAAGCUAAUUUGGGCCCUUCUUCAAAAUGGAAGUUUGUGAGAAAGUCAACAAUGGGAAAAGGGGGCCACAAGGGCAAAGGAAGAAGGCAGGUGACAAAAUCUGGAAAACGGAGUAUGCAAGGAAAUUAGGAACUGUGAGAGAGGGAGGUGAGGAGAAAGAACAUUCUAGGCUUGGGAGACAGUUCAUUCUGUCUUCCAUUCACCUGGAUCCCAUAAAAACUCUUUCUGGUGAGAUGGCUAAGUUGGUAGAGUUAAGUGUUCAGGAGAGGAUGGGACUCAUGUUAGGAGAACCAACAACCCCAGGAGAGGUCUCUUUCCUGGUUAUUAUAUGAAACAUCAUGGAAAGGCUGUAGCUGGGAUCCAGUACCACGGUCAGCCAGCCUACCAAGUCAAGGAAGGAUAGACUGCUAAAGUAGGGAGGAUCUUUAGAGAUCAUCCCCUGCUUAUCACCCAGAGGAAGACACUUAAGCCCAGAGAGAGGAUGUUGACUUGCCCACACCAUACAGUUUGUUAGUGGGAGGGAGAGUCAGGACUAGAACCCAUUAGAGGUUUAUGGAAAUUUCCUCCCACUCUCAUUUAGGUCAUUUUCCUCUAAAAAUCUCAGGAUCACAUGAUCAUUAUCCUUCCAGCACCUCAUGGAUUGUAUUCUUGGUUUUCUAUAAGACCACCUGAUAUUGAUAGUUCCUGAAUAUCAUGCAAGCUGUGAAAUGAAUAUAUGUACUAAUGAAAAAACAUUUGUUGAUACUUACUAUAUGCCCCCAAACUGUCAUAAGUGCUAGGGUGACAAAUAGAAAAAUCGAACCCAUCUCUGUUAUCAAAGAAGUCACCCUUCAAGUGGAGGAGAUGACAUAUGAAAGGAAGAUCAACUAAAGGGAAAAUACAAAGAACCAGAAGUCCUAAGUGGCCAGAAGCACAAUGACAAAACCCAGGAGUCUAACGUUAAAUCAAAAGGUCAGAUGAUAGUGGCAGGAGUGUGGUCCAGAAUCAUAGAUUUGGAGCUGAAAAGGACCUGAAGGGUCAUCUGCUUCAACCCUCUUAUUUUAUGGAUGUAGAAACUGAUGCUGGGAGAAAGGAAAUUGCCCCAGCUUUCACAGAGAGUAAGUGGCAGUCAGGAUUCAAAACCAAGUUCUCUAAUGCCAAAUCCUAGACUUCUGACUCCAAGUCCAGAAUCCUUUCCAUUGUACCACACCAUCCCCUCUCUCUCCAUCCUAUACGGUAUGUAGCUUUGAAGCAACUUCUUCCUUAAUCAAAUAUCAUGCACGCACAACAAUCUUUCAUUUAAACAUUUUGAAUAAUUUUAAAACAUGAUUAAAAUAAUGCAUCAUUCCAUGUUUUUUUGAAUGAGAACUGAUACAGAGAAGGGUGUUCAAGGUCAUCAGACCACUGGCAGACUGUAUGGGAACUGAUCCUAGUGACUGCACCUGUACUUUCCUUGCUUUGGUCUUGAUACAAGGGCACAACCGUCAUUUUUUGAAAGUUGAAAGCUUCUGAAAGUCGGAGAGAAUUGCAUGCUCUACAUGUUUGCUUUAACACUUCCUUCUAUGGGGCUCUCCGGAACUCCUGUGCAGUAAGAGGGAGGAUCCUUUUUUAAAACAAAACAAAACUGUGUGUGUGUGGGGGGAAGUUCUCAUUCUUCAGCAGAAGGGUGAUGAAUACUCUAGCUUAAGAUAUUGUCCCAGUCCAAGAAAGCACAAUUGAUACGAUGCAAUUUUUUUGCUAUUCUUGGGAGCAGAUUAGAAUCAUCUGGGAGACAGUGGAGGUAGGAGGUUUGUUGAAAGAGUCUUGUGAGGGGCAUCUAGGUGACCCAGUGAAUAGAGAACUAGGUCUGGAGAUGGGAGGUCCUGGGUUCAAAUCUAGCCUCAGACAUGUCCUUGCUGUAUGACCUUGGGCAAGCCACUUAAAGCUCAUUGCCUAGCCCUUACCACUCUUCUGCCUUGAAACCAAUACUUGGUAUUGAUUCUAAGACGGAAGGCAAGAGUUUAAAAAAAAUAAAAGAAAGGCAAUUGUGAGAACUUAGAGGGUGGAGACAAUGGGAAUAGAAGAAAUAUGGAGGUAGAAUAGACAGGGCUUGAUAACCUUGUAUAUGAGUGGUGAAAAGAGAGGGAAUAGUAAAAAAAUAAGCCCAAUGUUGCAAAUAUAGCCUACUGAGUGAAUGCCAUUGCUACAAUUAGAAAGAGCAAAGUCAGAAGGAUGAGCAAAUGUAGGGAGAAAUAUAUUAACUUGGGUUGUUGAUAAGCCUGGAGUAGUAGAAAGAGCCUGCAUUGAUUAGUGGACCUGGGCAUAAAGCUGGCAAGUGAGAUUGCUUGGGGAUCUUGAGCAAGUCAAGAGAAUGAGGACUGAAAAAGUCAGAGACCUCCAGGUUCACUUCCUGGGUCUGUCAUUACAGGUGUGAUUUGGGCAAAUAGCAACCUCUCUGGGUCUCAGUGUCUGCAUCGGACCAAUGAGAGGGUUGGACCAGAUAUCAUCUAAGAUCCUUAUGCAGCACUACAUCUAUGAAUUGAUGAAAAAAGACAAUUGGAUUUGGCUUACCCUUUGAAAGAUUAGUUUCUAUAGUGCAGUAGGGAUAUAAAACAUUGCAAAGAUUUAAGAAUUGGGUGGGUAAAAAGGAAGUUGAGCUAAUGGUUAUUGAUAUGUUUAAAAAUUAUUUAGUAUGAUCUUAAUAUUAAAUAUCAACCCAACUAAUUAAGUGUGCUUUGCAACUAUUUUUUAAAAAUAAUUUCAGUGUAUGAUAUUUCAUAACAACCCUUCAGUCACUUCUAAGUCUCCAACAAGAUUCUUUGGUUACCCACUCACUUCUUUUUGUUUUUCCUUUUUUGAUCCUGCUUUUGUUUAUUUUAUUUUAUUUAAUAAAAUCCUCUGCACAUUUCUAUCUAUUCCACAUUCUUGUCAUCUAUAAUUCAGGGACAGGUGAGGAAUCUAUAUGAAUGGAGUGCUGGACAUGGAGUCAGGAAGCCCUGAGUUGGAUUCUGGUCAUACUUACUAGUUGUAUGACCUUUCAGCAGGUCAACCAGCCUCAGUUUCCUUAUUUGUAAAAUGAAGAUAAUACUUUCCUCACAUGGCUGUUGUGAGGGUCAAAUGUAUAUAUAUGUACAUAUAUAUAUGUAUAUACAUAAAAUAUAUAAAGUUCUUUUGAACUAUGUAAAUGUAAUGUAAAAAUAAUAUAUAAUAAAAUCAAUGAUAAUUAUGUAUGCUAUAAUAAUAUGAAAUUAUUAUACUACAUGUUAUGAUGAAUUGCAUUAUAAUAUUUUAUUACCUGAAUGUACUACAUCUUAUUUAACUAUUGCUCCUCUGUCGCAUGCUUUGGUUUCUUCCAUGUUUUGGUAAUUACAAAUAAAACUCUUCUGAAAAUCUUUGAACAAA